rnacentral:rRNA from 1 species
GAUGAACGCUGGCGGCGUGCCUAAUACAUGCAAGUCGAGCGAACGGACGAGAAGCUUGCUUCUCUGAUGUUAGCGGCGGACGGGUGAGUAACACGUGGAUAACCUACCUAUAAGACUGGGAUAACUUCGGGAAACCGGAGCUAAUACCGGAUAAUAUUUUGAACAGCAUGGUUCAAAAGUGAAAGACGGUCUUGCUGUCACUUAUAGAUGGAUCCGCGCUGCAUUAGCUAGUUGGUAAGGUAACGGCUUACCAAGGCAACGAUGCAUAGCCGACCUGAGAGGGUGACCGGCCACACUGGAACUGAGACACGGUCCAGACUCCUACGGGAGGCAGCAGUAGGGAAUCUUCCGCAAAGGGCGAAAGCCUGACGGAGCAACGCCGCGUGAGCGAUGAAGGUCUUCGGAUCGUAAACCUCUGUUAUCAGGGAAGAACAUAUGUGUAAGUAACUGUGCACAUCUUGACGGUACCUAAUCAGAAAGCCACGGCUAACUACGUG